GAGUAGGGGGGGUUUUGGGGGGAAUUUGGGGGAUUUGGGUUAAUUUGGGGGGAUUCGAUCGAUUUUGGGGGUAUUUUUGAGUGGUUUUGGGUCAAUUUUGGGGGGAAUUGGGGGUUUUUGGUCAAUUUGGGGGGAUUCCAUCGAUUUUUGGCAGGUUUGGGGUCAAUUUUGAGCGGUUUUGGGUCAAUUUUGUUUUUUUUGGGGAUUCUUAGGACGAAGAGGAGGAGGAGGAGGAGGAGGAGGAUGAGGAAGGGCCAAGCGGGACGAAGGCCCCGGGGCUGGGCGGGGGGCGGCGCUACGUGCCCCCCCGCCUGGUGCCCGUGCAGUACGGUAAGCCGAAUCCCAAAUAAUCCCAAAUAAUCCCAAAUAAUGCCCAUAAUCCAUCCAAAAUCCUUCAUUACACCCCCAAAUCCCCCUUAAAUUCCCCUUUAUUCUUCCUUAAUCCUCGUAUUUUCCCCCUAAUUGCCCCAUAAUCCCCCAAACUCCCCAUAAUCCCUCUGUUUUCCCUCAAAAUCCCACUCUUUUUCCCCAUAAUCCCUCCAUAAUUCCUUAAUUUCCCCCCAUAACCCUCCCCUAAUCCCCCAAAAUCCCCUUUAAUCCCCCUUAAUGCCCCAUAAUCCCACACUUAUUCCCCAUAAUCCCCCCAAAACCGUCCCCUACUCCCAUCACCCCUCCCUGACCCCCUUAAUCCCCCUUAAUCCCACCCUUACUCCCCAUAAUCCCACCUUUUUUCCCCAUAAUCCCUCCAUAAUCUCUUCAUUUUCCCCCAUAACCCUCCCCUAAUCCCUCCAUAACCCCUCCUCAUGCCCCAUAAUCCC
rnacentral:lncRNA from 1 species